rnacentral:rRNA from 1 species
UACCAGCACCCCGAGUGGUCGGGACGAUUAUUGGGCCUAAAGCAUCCGUAGCCGGUCCUGCAAGUCUUCCGUUAAAUCCAGCUGCUCAACAGAUGGGCUGCGGGGGAUACUACAGGGCUAGGAGGCGGGAGAGGCAAGCGGUACUUUAUGGGUAGGGGUAAAAUCCGUUGAUCCAUAGAAGACCACCAGUGGCGAAGGCGGCUUGCCAGAACGCGCUCGACGGUGAGGGAUGGAAGCUGGGGGAGCAAACCGG